UACGUAGGGGGCAAGCGUUGUCCGGAAUUACUGGGCGUAAAGGGCGCGUAGGCGGCCUUCUAAGUCGAACGUGAAAUCCCCGGGCUCAACCCGGGAACUGCGUCCGAUACUGGAAGGCUUGAAUCCGGGAGAGGGAUGCGGAAUUCCAGGUGUAGCGGUGAAAUGCGUAGAUAUCUGGAGGAACACCGGUGGCGAAGGCGGCAUCCUGGACCGGUAUUGACGCUGAGGCGCGAAAGCCAGGGGAGCAAACGGG
rnacentral:rRNA from 1 species